rnacentral:rRNA from 1 species
ACAAUGGGGGAAAGCCUGAUCCAGCCAUCCCGCGUGUAUGAUGAAGGCCAACGGUUUGUAAAGUACUUUUGGCAGAGAAGAAAAGGUACCUCCUAAUACGAGGUACUGCUGACGGUAUCUGCAGAAUAAGCACCGGCUAACUACGUGCCUGCAGCCGCGGUAAUACGUAGGGUGCAAGCGUUAAUCGGAAUUACUGGGCGUAAAGCGUGUGUAGGCGGUUCGGAAAAAAAGAUGUGAAAACCCAAGGCUCAUCCUUGGAACUGCAUUUUUAACUGCCGAGCUAGAGUAUGUCAGGGGGGGGUAGAAUUCCACGUGUAGCAGUGAAAUGCGUAGAUAUGUGGAGAAAUACCGAUGGGGAAGGCAGCCCCCUGGGAUAAUACUGACGCUCAGACACGAAAGCGUGGGGAGCAAACA